UCGAGAAUCUUCGGCAAUGGGCGCAGGCCUGACCGAGCGACGCCGCGUGCGAGAUGAAGGCCUUCGGGUUGUAAAUCGCUGUCAGAGGGGAGGAAAUGCCGGUGGGUUCUCCCAUCGGUUUGACCUAUCCUCAGAGGAAGGACGGGCUAAGUUCGUGCCAGCAGCCGCGGUAAGACGAACCGUCCAAACGUUAUUCGGAAUCACUGGGCUUAAAGGGUGCGUAGGCGGUCCGGGAAGUUGGGUGUGAAAGCCCUCAGCUCAACUGAGGAAUUGCGCCCAAAACUGCCGGACUUGAGGGAGACAUAGGUGAGCGGAACUUAGGGUGGAGCGGUGAAAUGCGUUGAGAUCCUAAGGAACACCAGUAGCGAAAGCGGCUCACUGGGUCUCUUCUGACGCUGAUGCACGAAAGCUAGGGGAGCGAGCC
rnacentral:rRNA from 1 species